rnacentral:rRNA from 1 species
UACGUAAGGUCCGAGCGUUGUCCGGAAUCAUUGGGCGUAAAGGGAGCGCAGGCGGUGAUUUAAGUCUGAUGUGAAAGCCCACGGCUCAACCGUGGAAUGGCAUUGGAAACUGGGUCACUUGAGUGCAGAAGAGGAAAGCGGAAUUCCUAGUGUAGCGGUGAAAUGCGCAGAUAUUAGGAGGAAUACCGGUGGCGAAGGCGACUUUCUGGCCAUUAUCUGACGCUGAGGUACGAAAGCGUGGGUAGCAAACAGG